rnacentral:lncRNA from 1 species
GCUGUGCUUUCCCCUACAAAUCAUUGAGUUUGCAUUUGGUUGUAUCCAUUGGACCCCAUGAUUCUCAGCCAGUGGGAGUGCUGCUGGUGUCUCAUGGUUAGAGUCAGGGAUGCUGCUCCUCAUCCUGCAGUGCACAGGACAGUCCCCCGCAACAAAGAAUGAUCUGGCCCCAGAUGUCACCAGAGCUGAGGUUGAGAAGCGCAGGUCUCACCCCACUGGCCACUGUGGUUAAUGUUCACCUGGUUAUUCA